GUCAGUGUGGCAGAAGGUGGUGGUCGGCUUCCCACGUCAUCCACCUCCCUCAUGUUGAUGUGUCAAGUAAUAAAGUCAUAGCAGUUCAGAUCGUUCACUACCGUCGGUGCUAACCGACUUAUACUCACACAAACCGCCGUGAUAGCUCUGAUCGUCGAUCCUUUUUGCAUCGAAGCCUUUACAAACGCGGCCGACCACUCUUAUCCCGAUAAUAUUUUCUUGACCGUCUCCGCUUGAUUUUUGGGGUCGACCUCACCCAAGACUCGGAGCUCGAUCCGGUCAUCAAACGAAGCGAUUGGAUUAAAUCGGCCUGAAGCUCGACCCGAUCUUGAAUAUAUAUUGCAGCCACCGCCCAAGUGCAGUCUGCCCAACCGCCCAAGCGUAUAGUCGCCCGCCUAGGCCACCUCGGCGGCCACCCAAUCCUAACCCGCCCAACCCCAGCGAUUUUCCAUUACUUGCGGCGGAGACUCACUGCCCAGCGCUUAGGCACCGCCUAGGCGGACAAGUUUUAGAAAACGUGCAAAUAUGAAGUUUAAGCCAUUAUGCCUUUAUAUAAAACAAAGAAAAGGGGCUAGAACAACCCAUGCCAUCAAGGAUCUGUUUUCUAAUGCAGAGCAUAGGCAUUGUGUAGGACAUUUACACAACAAUUUCAAGGUGAUGGCCACAUUAUUGGAUUGGAGUUGAAAAAGAAGCUGUGGGAAGUGGCAAGAGCAACAACAACGAACCAAUAUACAAAGGCAGUGGAGGAUUUGAGGAGGGUUUCAUUCAAUGCUUGGCAAUGGUGUGUAGACAGGCCAGCCAAGAACUGGUCAAGGUCUCACUUUGAUCAAAGUUCCAAUGUGAUAUUCGUAUUAACAAUCACAGUAAGUCUUGUAAUAAGAGUAUACUGGAACCAAGGAAGAAGCCAAUUUUACCUUGUUUGGAAGACAUCAGAAUUGCAUGCUUGGUGAGAGUAGCAAAUAUGAGGAAUUCAAUUGGAAGAUGGAGGUGCAAGGUUGGUCCACGUAUUGAGAAACUGUUGAAGAAGAAUGCCAGUUGGGCCAAUGACUAUAUGGCUCUUGAGUCUAGUGAAUGGAUAUUUGAAUUACAUGACAGGAGUACGUGUGACAUGUGAGAUUGGAGUGGUUAGUCAACACUCUGUGCAAUUGGAUACAAGGUCAUGCACCUGCAGAAGAUGGGAUCUCUGUGGAUCUCUGUGGAUUGCUAUGUGGCCAUGCAAUUUCAGCAAUUUCCUCAAAGACGGUCUCCAGAUGAUUAUGUAUCAGAAUGGUAUACUCAGAAGAAAUAUAUGGAGGCUUAUCAGGUGAUGUUGCAUCCAAUAGAUGGUGUUUUUGAAUGGGAAGUUAUAGAGAGAAAGAUUGCUAAGAGAACUCAUUAGUUGCUUUGGUGAACUCGCAAGGAUGUGGGUUGUGUGGAAACAGCAAGUGCAGAGGGAUUUGAUGUCAUAAUAGCUUCAAUAUCAAUAGUCCUUCAAGGUCAGAAAUGGAGAAAAGAGGCGAAAAAGAGCUGAAAUGAGCGUAAAUGAAGGAUAAGUCAUUUUAGAAACUUUCCUCUUUCAUUUUAGGAAAUAUUUCCUAUUUUGUUGUAGGGAACUUUCUUCCUUUGAACUUUCCUAUUUCUGAUUUUCUUGUUUUAAAGAGAGAAUUUAGGAGUCCAUCCCAUUGAGGACUUUUGAGUGAUGAAAUCAAGAAAACUUGAAGGAGAAGAGGACUUACAUAAAUAAGGAUGAAUUCAAGGAGUUUUAUUCACAUAAAUUCUCCUUAUUUCGUGGAGAUAAUAGGAGAGUGUUUAUAUUCAAUAUUAAUUCCUAUUUAUCUCCUACUGGUUAUAGACUCUAAUUAUUAAUUAAUUUAUGAUUUUCCUUUAUUAUAAGAGUUUGU